rnacentral:tRNA from 1 species
GGAGGCGCACCCGUUCUGGUGAGCGGCGCGGUCUUCAAAACCGUCAGCGCGCCUGUGAGAGCAGGCGCGGGUGGGUUCGAUUCCCACACGCCUCCGCCA